CUACGGGAGGCAGCAGCCGCGGUAAUCCAGCAGCCUACGGGAGGCAGCAGUGGGGAAUAUUGCACAAUGGGCGAAAGCCUGAUGCAGCAACGCCGCGUGAGCGAUGAAGGCCUUCGGGUCGUAAAGCUCUGUCCUCAAGGAAGAUAAUGACGGUACUUGAGGAGGAAGCCCCGGCUAACUACGUGCCAGCAGCCGCGGUAA
rnacentral:rRNA from 1 species